GUCGGAAGAGUGAUCCAGCCAUGCCGCGUGCAGGAUGAAGGUCCUAUGGAUUGUAAACUGCUUUUGUAAGGGAAGAAUAAGGAGUACGUGUACUUUGAUGACGGCUCCUCACGAAUAAGCAUCGGCUAACUCCGUGCCAGCAGCCGCGGUAAUACGGAGGAUGCGAGCGUUAUCCGGAAUCAUUGGGUUUAAAGGGUCCGUAGGCGGGCUGAUAAGUCAGAGGUGAAAGCGCUUAGCUCAACUAAGCAACUGCCUUUGAAACUGUCAGUCUUGAAUGAUUGUGAAGUAGUUGGAAUGUGUAGUGUAGCGGUGAAAUGCUUAGAUAUUACACAGAACACCGAUAGCGAAGGCAUAUUACUAACAAUUUAUUGACGCUGAUGGACGAAAGCGUGGGGAGCGAACAGG
rnacentral:rRNA from 1 species